GCGUAUGCACUUCGGUCUGACUGCGCAGGAUAGGUGGGAGGCUUGAAAGUUUCCUCGUGGGUAAGCUGGAGCCAUCGGUGAGAUACCACUCUGGUUGAGCUAGAAUUCUAACCUUCACCCGUAAACCGGGGAAGGGACACUUGCAGGCGGGCAGUUUGACUGGGGCGGUCGCCUCCUAAAAGGUAACGGAGGCGCGCAACGGUUCCCUCAGGCUGGUUGGAAAUCAGCCGCACAGUGGAAAGGCAAAAGGAAGCUUGACUGUAACACCUACAAGUGCAGCAGAGACGAAAGUCGGCCUUAGUGAUCCGACGGACCCUGAGUGAAGGCCUG
rnacentral:rRNA from 1 species